rnacentral:rRNA from 1 species
CGUAGGUAUCUGUCUCUGGGUGGGGGAUAACCAUGGGAAACUAUGGCUAAUACCGCAUGAAGCCUGAGGGCCAAAGCAGCAAUGCGCCUGGAGAGGAGCCUGCGUACGAUUAGCUUGUUGGUGAGGUAAUGGCUCACCAAGGCGACGAUCGUUAGCUGGUCUGAGAGGAUGAUCAGCCACACUGGGACUGAGACACGGCCCAG